rnacentral:rRNA from 1 species
CAAGUCGAGUGCGCGCCUGUAGCAAUACAGGUGGCGCACGGCGCACGGGUGCGUAACACGUGGGUAAUCUGCCCUUCGAAGGGGAAUAACUCGCCGAAAGGCGAGCUAAUUCCGCAUAACAUUCCGAGAACUUUGGUUUUUGGAUUCAAAGGCGUAAGUCGUCGGAGGAGGAGCCCGCGCACGAUUAGCUAGUUGGUAGGGUAACGGCCUACCAAGGCUAUGAUCGUUAGCUGGUCUGAGAGGAUGGCCAGCCACACUGGAACUGAGACACGGUCCAGACUCCUACGGGAGGCAGCAGUGGGGAAUCUUGCACAAUGGGCGAAAGCCUGAUGCAGCGACGCCGCGUGGGGGAUGAAGCUUCUCGGAGUGUAAACCCCUUUCGACCCGGACGAAUGCCCCGCAAGGGGACUGACGGUACGGGUAUAAGAAGCCCCGGCUAACUACGUGCCAGCAGCCGCGGUAAGACGUAGGGGGCCAGCGUUGCUCGGAAUUACUGGGUGUAAAGGGUUCGUAGGCGGUGUGGCAAGUCGGGAGUGAAAUCUCUGGGCUCAACCCAGAGUCUGCUUCCGAAACUGCUGUGCUUGAGUGUGGGAGAGGCGCGUGGAAUUGCAGGUGUAGCGGUGAAAUGCGUAGAUAUCUGCAGGAACACCCGUGGCGAAAGCGGCGCGCUGGACCACUACUGACGCUGAGGAAUGAAAGCUAGGGGAGCAAACAGGAUUAGAUACCCUGGUAGUCCUAGCCCUAAACGAUCAGGACUUGGGGUGCCACCCGUUCGGGUGUCGUCCCGGAGCUAACGCGUUAAGUCCUG